AUGAUGUGAUUGCUUUUUCUCUUUUUUGGUUAGACAUUUCACCUAACGACUCUUUGAUUUCAUUAUAUGUAACUAACGCAUGUUGAUAUCUAUAUACUCUUUGCCUCUUUUUUUUUUCCCAAUGUCAAACUUACAUAUUCUUUUCGUGUGAAUCUUUUAUCUUUAUACUUGUCUCAAUCUUUUUUGUCAAUCACAUCAUCACACAAUAAUUUGAGUUUUUUUUUUGUUAAUGAAAAUUUCACAUGCCUUCAUCUUCUUUCCACCAAGUUCUUCAUUUGUCAUGACAUCUAAGUUCUUGUCAUUUGUCAUGCCUUCAUAUUCAACAGCUCCAAAGGUGGGGAUCGCGUCGUUGAACACUUUAAUCGCAUGUAUCUCGCUGGAAUGCAAAACGGCAUCAUACUGAUCGGUUAUGGAGUUAUACCGAUCGGUUCUCUAUUUGGUCUCAUACUUAUCGGUUGUUGUAAGUAAACCGAUCAGUAUCAAUCUCCGUUUCCAG